rnacentral:rRNA from 1 species
AACCGCCCGAACUGAAACAUCUAAGUAGGGCGAGGAAAAGAAAUCAACCGAGAUUCUGUGAGUAGUGGCGAGCGAAAGCGGAAGAGGCUAAACCGAGAGGAGCAAUCCUUUCGGGGUUUAGGACUGCAUUUAGUACAACGAUUGUUAACCGAACAGCAUGGGAAGGCUGAUCAAAGAAGGUGAGAAUCCUGUAGGUGAAAACGAAAGUUGACGAGCAGUAUCCAAAGUACCGCGGGGCACGUGAAAUCCCGUGGGAAGAUGGGGGGACCAUCCUCCAAGCCUAAAUACUACCUGAUGACCGAUAGCGAAUAGUACUGUGAAGGAAAGGUGAAAAGCACCCCGGGAGGGGAGUGAAAGAGAACCUGAAACCCUGUGCUUACAAGCACUUAGAGCACGUCAAAGUGUGAUAAGGUACCUAUUGUAGAAUGGUCCGGCGAGUUAUUGUAUGCAGCGAGGUUAAGUAGUUCAGCUACGGAGCCGAAGUGAGAGCGAGUGUUAACAGCACGUUCAGUUGCAUGCAAUAGACCCGAAACCGGGUGACCUAUCCAUGUCCAGGAUGAAGUGAGGGUAAAACCUCAUGGAGGUCCGAACCCACUCCCGUUGAAAUGGUAGGGGAUGAGGUGUGGAUAGCGGAGAAAUUCCAAUCGAACCCGGAUAUAGCUGGUUCUCCCCGAAAUAGUUUUAGGACUAGCCUCGUGAUUAAGAUUAUCGGAGGUAAAGCACUGAAUGGCCUAGGGGUCGAGAGAUUACCGAAGCCUAUCAAACUCUGAAUGCCGAAUAAUCAUGCACGGGAGUCAGACUGUGUGAGAUAAGUUUCAUAGUCGAAAGGGAAACAGCCCAGACCUACAGCUAAGGUCCCAAAGUACGUUUAAGUGGAAAACGAUGUGAAAUUGCGUAGACAACCAGGAUGUUGGCUUAGAAGCAGCCAUACAUUAAAAGAGUGCGUAAUAGCUCACUGGUCGAGUGACUUUGCGCGGAAAAUUUAACGGGGCUAAAACGUACACCGAAGCUUAGGCUUGUCACAAUGUGACAGGGGUAGGGGAGCGUUGAAUGAGGGGUGAAGUCGUAGCGAAAGCGACGGUGGACUUCAUUCAAGUGAGAAUGCCGGAAUGAGUAGCGAGAAUUAUGUGAGAAUCAUAAUGGCCGAAAGCCUAAGGUUUUUGGAGGAAGGUUCGUCCGCUCCAAGUAAGUCGGAAGCUAAGGUGAGGCUGAAAAGCGUAGCCGAUGCACAAACGGUUGAAAUUCCGUUACCACAGAAAGAUUUAAACUAAGGGACACUUUUGAAGAGCUGAUGCCGGGUGUUGGUUACCCCGGUCGUAAGGGAACGAAAUUAAGUAGUGAAGUCAGCGUGGAUGAAGGCGAGAAAAGCUUAGUGUAUAUCUUAUGUGUCCGUACCGCAAACCGACACAGGUAGGUAGGAAGAGAAUUCUAAGGCCAACGGGAGAAGGGUAGUUAAGGAACUCGGCAAAAUGUCCCCGUAACUUCGGAAUAAGGGGAGGUUUCUACGGAAACCCGCAGAGAAUAGUCCCAGGCAACUGUUUAUCAAAAACACAGCUCUAUGCUAAAUCGAAAGAUGACGUAUAUGGGGUGACGCCUGCCCGGUGCCGGAAGGUUAAGAGGAGGAGUGAGAGCCCUGAAUCGAAGCCCCGGUAAACGGCGGCCGUAACUAUAACGGUCCUAAGGUAGCGAAAUUCCUUGUCAGGUAAGUUCUGACCCGCACGAAUGGCGUAAUGAUCUGGGAGCUGUCUCAACUGCCCGCCCGGCGAAAUUGUAGUACCGGUGAAGAUGCCGGUUACCCGCGACUAGACGGAAAGACCCCAUGGAGCUUUACUGUAGCUUAAUAUUGGAUUUCGGCAUUUCAUGUACAGGAUAGGUGGGAGACUAGGAAACAUAGGCGUCAGCUUAUGUGGAGUCGUCCUUGGGAUACCACUCUUGGAGUGCUGAAAUUCUAACCUGCAGCCCUGAAUCGGGUUGGGGGACAUUGUUAGGUGGGCAGUUUGACUGGGGCGGUCGCCUCCAAAAAGGUAACGGAGGCGCUCAAAGGUUGGCUCAGCAUGGAUGGAAACCAUGCUAUAGAGUGCAAACGCAAAAGCCAGCCUGACUGCGAGACUGACGGGUCGAGCAGAAACGAAAGUUGGAGUUAGUGAUCCGGCGGUAUGUGAAUGGAAAUGCCGUCG